rnacentral:rRNA from 1 species
AGUGAACGCUGGCGGCGUGCUUAAUACAUGCAAGUCGAACGAUGAAGUCCUAGCUUGCUAGGAUGGAUUAGUGGCGCACGGGUGAGUAAUAUAUAGUUAAUCUGCCUUGCACUGAGGAACAACAGUUGGAAACGAUUGCUAAUACCUCAUACUCCAACUUUACAUAAGUUAAGUUGGGAAAGUCUUUUCGGUGCAAGAUGAGACUAUAUCGUAUCAGCUAGUUGGUAAGGUAAUGGCUUACCAAGGCUAUGACGCGUAACUGGUCUGAGAGGAUGAUCAGUCACAUUGGAACUGAGACACGGUCCAAACUCCUACGGGAGGCAGCAGUAAGGAAUAUUGGGCAAUGGGGGAAACCCUGACGCAGCAACGCCGCGUGGAGGAUGACACUUUUCGGAGCGUAAACUCCUUUUGUUAGGGAAGAAUAAUGACGGUACCUAACGAAUAAGCACCGGCUAACUCCGUG